rnacentral:rRNA from 1 species
GAUGAACGCUGACAGAAGGCUUAACACAUGCAAGUCUUUGGCGAAGCUGUGCUUGCACAGCCUAGCCAAGGCGGACGGGUGAGUAACGCGUAAGGAACUUGCCCGGCAGUCAGGGAUAACAGACGGAAACGACUGAUAAGACCUGGUAAAGUCAGGCGGACUCAUGUCCAGCCUGAUGAAAAGAGAUGCUGCAGGAGAGCCUUGCGUCCUAUUAGCUUGUUGGUGGGGUAACGGCCCACCAAGGCGAUGAUAGGUAGCCGGCCUGAGAGGGUGGACGGCCACAAGGCGACUGAGAUACGGCCGUUACUCAUACGGGAGGAAGCAGUGGGGAAUAUUGGACCAAGGGGGCAACCCUGAUCCAGCAAUUCUGUGUGCACGAUGCAGGUUUUCGGAUUGUAAAGUGCUUUCAGCAGGGAAGAAAAAAAUGACGGUACCUGCAGAAGAAGCGACGGCUAAAUACGUG